UUUAUUCCUGCAGGCUGAUGUCCUUACAACAGAACUGGAAACUACAUCUUCAAAAUGUCUACACCUGGAUGCAAAAAAAUCAAGUUCUUCAACAAGAGUUAUUAUCAAUGAAAUCUUUCGAAGAAGAACGUGAAAAACUAGAGAGCAAUAACAAGAAGUUACAGCAAGAAGUAGUAAAAUUGAAACAAUUUAUGGAAAUGAAUAUGGUAGAACGCGGUCAAGUGGAACAGUAUAAACGGGAGAUUGAAGAAAGAGCACGACUGGACAUAGAAGAAAAAUGACACGAAGUCAACCUGUUUUUACAGGCACAAGCAGCAGCUCGAGAACACUUGGACCAGUUAAGAGAAAAUGCUCAUGCUUCAGCGAGAAGUCAAAUGGAACUUAGAAUUAGAGAUCUGGAAUCUCAGGUCUCUACAAUGAAGACUUCUCAAGAAGAUUCUACUAAAAUAGAGUUGGAAACCUACAAGCAACUCUACCUAGAAGAAUUAAAAGUUAGAAAGUCCUUGAGAAAUAAGCUGAACACGGCUAAGGAGAGACUGUCAGAGAGCAAUACAAAACUUCUUGAGGAGAGAAAGCAGCACCAAACUUUACUCAGGACCCUUACAUGAGCCCAGACCUGGAACCACCUUAUUGUGGACAUUUUGAAAAUAAUUUAGUGCUCAAUGGAAACCUUACUGCAAGAGGAAACUUAGUGAUUCCUACCUUAAACCCACGGCCGUCAUAUGACUACUGGGAGACUUCCUUGUGGAAGACGCAGCAGGAGUUGGAGAAAAGAAUAACCAGAGCACUAGAAGAAGCUGCUACCAAAUUUGAAUGAGGAUCCUGUAGAAAUCCUUUAGUAUCUACUGAUGAUUCAAUUCUAAAUCAAGAUCCAGUAUGGAAAGCGUCACGAGAAUAUGUACAGAUUUUGAACAAAAAUUAUACAAUUUGAAAAAUAAAUAGAAAAAAUUUACUGGAUGCUUACAAAACAUUUUCAUUGCUUCCCAAUUGAACACACUAUACGGCAAAAUCUUGAU